GAUAUGCUAGUAGAACUAGCAAGAAGAGAAAAGAUUGCGGGGAUAAAAUCCGAUGGUGAUCUUGAUAUAUUCAUGAAGUCAUUAGCUCUUGGAGAGAAAGAGACAAGCCUUGUGGUAGAGUACAUCAUGAAGGGUUGGACAUAUGCGCUGAUACGUUGGUAGGAGAUGAAAUGCUUAAAGGUAUAUCAGGGGGCCAAAAGAAGCGGCUUACUACAGGUGCAUACUUGGUGUUUCUAGAAAGGUAUAGACUAGGUAUAAGCUCUGCGUGUU